rnacentral:rRNA from 1 species
CCUACGGGUGGCUGCAGUGGGGAAUAUUGGACAAUGGGGGCAACCCUGAUCCAGCCAUGCCGCGUGUGUGAAGAAGGCCCUCGGGUUGUAAAGCACUUUCAGUGAGGAAGAACGCCUGGUGGUUAAUACCCAUCAGGAAAGACAUCACUCACAGAAGAAGCACCGGCUAACUCCGUGCCAGCAGCCGCGGUAAUACGGAGGGUGCGAGCGUUAAUCGGAAUUACUGGGCGUAAAGCGCGCGUAGGUGGCUUGAUAAGCCGGUUGUGAAAGCCCCGGGCUCAACCUGGGAACGGCAUCCGGAACUGUCAAGCUAGAGUGCAGGAGAGGAAGGUAGAAUUCCCGGUGUAGCGGUGAAAUGCGUAGAGAUCGGGAGGAAUACCAGUGGCGAAGGCGGCCUUCUGGACUGACACUGACACUGAGGUGCGAAAGCGUGGGUAGCAAACAGGAUUAGAUACCAUAGUAGUC